rnacentral:rRNA from 1 species
AGGGUUUGAUCCUGGCUCAGAACGAACGCUGGCGGCGUGGCUAAGACAUGCAAGUCGAACGGACUAUGUAAUUGAGUAAUCGAGCACAUAGUUAGUGGCGAAAGGGUUAGUAAUGGCUAGGUAACGUACCCCCUGCUCUGGGAUAGUUAUCCGAAAGGAUAAGUAAUACCAGAUAAUAUCGUAAAUCGAUAGGUUUACGAUCAAAGAUUUAUCGGGAGGGGAGCGGCCUAGUUCCCAUCAGCUUGUUGGUGAGGUAAUGGCUCACCAAGGCAAUGACGGGUAGCGGGACUGAGAGGUUGGCCCGCAACAUCGGGACUGAGACACUGCCCGGACCUCCACGGAGGGCUGCAGUAACGAAUAUUGUGCAAUGGGCGAAAGCCUGACACAGCGACGCCGCGUGUAGGAGGAAGUCCCUCGGGAUGUAAACUACUGUCAGGGUAAAGAAAGUCUGUUUCGGCAGAUUGAUCUAACCCGGAGGAAGUCACGGCUAACUUCGUGCCAGCAGCCGCGGUAAGACGAAGGUGGCAAGCGUUGUUCGGUAUUACUGGGCUUAAAGCGUGUGUAGGCGGAUAAAUUAGCGUUUUGUGAAAUCCCUCGGCUUAACCGAGGAAUUGCUUGACGAACUGUUUAUCUUGAGGCAAGUAGGGGUGCACGGAACUCUUGGUGGAGCGGUGGAAUGCGUAGAUAUCAAGAGGAACGCCAGUGGUGAAGACGGUGCACUGGGCUUGUUCUGACGCUGAGACACGAAAGCGUGGGGAGCAAACAGGAUUAGAUACCCUGGUAGUCCACGCUGUAAACGAUGCCUACUAGGUCGCGGAGGUUCUGACACCGUCGCGGCUGGAGCGAAAGUUUUAAGUAGGCCGCCUGGGGAGUACGGUCGCAAGGCUAAAACUCAAAGGAAUUGACGGGGGCUCACACAAGCGGUGGAGCAUGUGGAUUAAUUCGAAAACGCGCAGAACCUUACCUGGGUUUGACAUGGUUGGAUGCCCUCUUGGAAACAGGAGUAAGCUGCCCUUCGGGGUGAAACUUUCACAGGUGCUGCAUGGCUGUCGUCAGCUCGUGUCGUGAGAUGUUGGGUUGUGUCCUUUAACGAGCGAAACCCUUACCGUUAGUUGCCAUCAGGUUAUGCUGGGGACUCUAGCGGGACUGCCGGUGUUAAACCGGAGGAAGGCGGGGAUGACGUCAAGUCAUCAUGGCCUUUAUGCCCAGGGCUUCACAC